CCUGUGGCUUCGCUGGGUUCCUGCACCUCUCUCACUUGUGAGCUCUCACCUCUAAGUUUGGAACAUGUGAAGGUGGUGCCAGCACAGCUGAGAGAGGGCGGGCAGCAGCUUGGGCUGCGUCUCCCCCCGGGAGCCUGCUUUCUGCAUAGCACCCUCGCCUCCAGCCUUCCAGGCUCGACUGUGCGUGGUAUUUGCAACACUCUCAUUUUCCCCUAAAGGGCCAAGGGGGAGGAAUGGGCAACAUGCAACUAGGACCAUGCUGCUGAGAUCUAAUUUAUAUUGUUCACUAUUGGGACUGGACACUUUCCAUACAAGAAUAUGCAGACCCCAAGGGACAUUUGGCAAUAUGUGGAGAUAUUUCUAUUGUCACAACUGGAAUGGGGGCAAUUCUCAAAUUUGUGGGUGGUAGGUUGCAGGUGGAGGUCAGGGAUGCUGCGAAAUGUCUUACAUUGCACAAGACAGCCCCUGCCUCCUCACCCCAACAUCCCAACAAAGAAUUACUCCACCCAAGAAGUCAAUAUUGAACAGUGCUGAGGCUGAGAAACUCUUUUCCCUCUGUCUGCCCCCACCAUAAAGCAAAGGUAAAUAAAGCCAGGACUGGCCACUCCCUGUGAGUGAAGUGUGUGUGUUAGGGGUGGGGUAUGGUGAGGGGUGUACCAUGAAUUUAGAAGACAUGCCCUUUAGCUAGAGCUGGGAUUUGUGGCCACUAUUUUGGUUUUUAUCAAAGCAUAAUGCUCACAAGUAGAAGAGGAGAUUUGUUAUUCUAAAGACAGUUGCACACCAAAGCAUGCUAUUGUAUAAUCUGGCAUUUUCCCCACUAGGGAGCUAUGGUGCAUUACUCACGAGUGACAGAACCAACGAGCUUCAUCUCCCAAGAGGCUGGUGCAUCUGUUUAAAAGGAGCAGGCGCUAUGCAGGGCCGCCCCCAUCAACCCCCCCAUGACGAAGUGCAGCGGGGGAAGCCUCUGCAGGACCAAAUUGACAGGUCUUUAAAGGCGGCUGACGAAAAGCAGCAUUAAUUAAGUCAUUGCCGGACUGUAAUUGUGUUAAGAAGUAAAAAUCUAAUAUGAGAAAAGGUUAGUGAGUCCUCUCUUGUGUCAGAUUUUCUACUCCCUAUGAAUAUUAAUGUCCUUAAUGAAGACAAUCUUUGCCUCAUCAAGCCGUUGUUCUGCAUUCAGGUGCCAAAUGCCUGUGCCAUUGAUUUGUUUUUAAAGAACAAAUAUGUCAGGCGAGAGUGACUGUCCUGUUUCUUAUCAACAUCAUAGGGGAUGCUUUUGUAUUCCCGGGAAGAGUUUAUAGAUUUUGUGUGCAUGUACAAGCUCUCGUGAAGGGAGGGGGGAGAAAGUCACGUGCCGGCAGGGUAAAUGAGUUACAGUAAUUUAAUAUUAGUG
rnacentral:lncRNA from 1 species